rnacentral:rRNA from 1 species
UACAGAGGUGGCAAGCGUUGUUCGGAAUUACUGGGCGUAAAGGGCGCGUAGGUGGCCUUCUUAGUCAGACGUGAAAUCCCCAGGCUUAACCUGGGAACUGCGUCUGAUACUGGAAGGCUCGAGUUCGGGAGAGGAAUGCGGAAUUCCAGGUGUAGCGGUGAAAUGCGUAGAUAUCUGGAGGAACACCGGUGGCGAAGGCGGCAUUCUGGACCGAUAUUGACGCUGAGGAGCGAAAGCCAGGGGAGCAAACGGG